rnacentral:sRNA from 1 species
UGGCCUCAGCGAAGAUGGGCCGGGCAGGGACCAUGGCGGUGGCAGCAGAGGUGGCAGGGGCGGGGCGGCUGGCGGUAGAGGAGGCUGUGGUCCUCAGGGGGCUGUAGGUGGAGGUAUGGCUCGGGCCAGCAGCGGGAACGGCAGCGAGGAGGCCUGGGGGGCACUUCGGGCGCCGCAACAGCAGCUUCGAGAGCUGUGCCCAGGAGUGAACAACCAGCCCUAUCUCUGUGAGAGUGGUCACUGCUGCGGGGAGACUGGCUGCUGCACCUACUACUAUGAGCUCUGGUGGUUCUGGCUGCUCUGGACUGUCCUCAUCCUCUUUAGCUGCUGUUGCGCCUUCCGCCACCGACGAGCUAAACUCAGGCUGCAACAACAGCAGCGGCAGCGUGAAAUCAACUUGUUGGCCUAUCAUGGGGCAUGCCAUGGGGCUGGUCCUUUCCCUACCGGUUCACUGCUUGACCUUCGUGAGUGACUUGAUGCCCUGGGUCAGCUACCAGUGGCCUUCCCCAAACCAGAACCCCAAAUCGUCUCACAUUCCCUUUUCCACACAUUUCAAAGUAUUUUUCCCUAAUAUAAAAACUAGCACCCUAUACCUGGUUGUCUUCAACCAAUCAUGCCAAUUUUCUCCCCUGCAGGCCUCCUCAGCACCUUCAAGCCCCCAGCCUAUGAGGAUGUGGUUCACCGCCCAGGCACACCACCCCCGCCUUAUACUGUGGCCCCAGGCCGCCCCUUGACUGCUUCCAGUGAACAAUCCUGCUGUUCCUCCUCAUCCAGCUGCCCUGCCCACUUUGAAGGAACAAAUGUGGAAGGUGUUUCCUCCCACCAGAGUGCCCCCCAUCAUCAGGAU